UCUCCGUAGGUGAACCUGCGGAGGGAUCAUUACAGAGUUCAUGCCCUACCGGUUAGAUCUCCCACCCUAUGUUAUUAUUACUUUGUUGCUUUGGCGGGCCGUUAGGCUCCGGCCCGACUACCGGCCCCGGCUGGUAAGCGCCCGCCAGAGGACCCAAAACCCUGAAUAUUAGUGUCGUCUGAGUACUAUAUAAUAGUUAAAACCUUCAACAACGGAUCUCUUGGUUCUG
rnacentral:misc_RNA from 1 species